rnacentral:lncRNA from 1 species
AUAAAAUAAAAAAGAAAGAAAGAGGGCUCUCCAUCCCUCAAAUGGCCAGCGGUCUACCGAUCCCGUCACGUCACCACCAUGGCCGGCGUCUGGCAAUGGAAAAGGAGCUCUUUUUCCCCCACUUCACGACAUCCUUGAGAGCCCGAAGCUCUCUCAAUUCGUGAGAGUCAAAACAAGGGGGUUUUCGGCCCCUUUGGACCCGAUUCAGGCGACGGAGGAGGGACCCUCCGACGGCGCAACCAUGGCCACUUCCGGUGAGUUCCCUUUUAUUUAUUUUAUUACUAAUAUUCUAAAAAAAAGUAGAUAAAAUAAAAGAAAAAAGAUCUUAUAAACAGAAUGAUAGAGAAAAAGAAAAAAGGAAAACCUUUGAUCUGUUUUCUGCUUUUAUUUCUUUCUUUUAAUUUUUUUUCUUUUCAAAAAUCGGGACUCCCCCUUACAGUGAUGAAGCCCCCCUUUCAUUUUACAAUAUUCGGCCUUAUAGCCGAGAGAAAGCUAAAUUUUCUGUCUAGUCUUGUCUGCUUCUGCUUUUCUUCUUGCGUGUUUGCAGGUGACCGUACGGCGAUAGCAGGAGGUGUCAGACGCACAUGGUAGCAGGUGGCGCGGCGCUGGAGAGGCAGAGGCAUGCGUGAGGAGGCUGGUGGCUAGGGGUGGACUUAAGUGUAGCAGUAGCAACAGCAGCUAGGGUUUCCUGCUGUAAUUUUUUUUAAUUUUUUUGGGCUUUAGGUGUAGGUUUUUAUUUUUUACUGGGCCAGCAAAUUUGGGCUUCUACAUAUUUAAUUCUACUUCACUAAGAUUUAUUAGAAUAAUAGCCUAAAUCACUGAUCUGUCAAUCACUUAUGCAUAUAGCUUUUUUAUCACUGAAAGGUUAUCUCCUUCAAUCACGACCUUGCUGAGGCCCAAAUCCAACCCUAUCUGAACUGCCUAGAGACAUGCUAUCGCUCUCGCUGCUGCAAUAGGGGUAGGUAUGUGAUCAUUUAUAAUUAUUCUCGAACCCAUUAUCUUACCAUCCGUAUUACAGGCAAUUAACCUAAACAAUAUUUUUUUUUAUUUGGAAAGGUAAGCUGCAUCAAAGUUAAUCUUGUACCAAAAGGGUUCAAGUGGUCUCCACCUUUUCAUGCUAACUCACCUACCAGGUAAUUUUUUGUUAAUCCCCUCUAAGUCUUUUACAUACGAUCUGAUGAAAUUUGUUACCCUACUACUUGAUUAAUGACUCCCAUCAUGAAUGAUUUUAUUUAUGUCUGUCUAGAUAGCCCAAAUAGCGCAUGUUACUACCCUAAUCUGGGCCAUCGAACUUUCAUGGUAGAUUUUACCGACCCAGUUUCUAUAAUCAUCAUGCAAGAACUCCUAGUCCCACAUUAUAUUUAACUUCUUCCAAAUUUCUUUAACAGAAGUACAGUCACGAAACGCAAGCUUCAGAGUCUCAACACCAUCAGUACAUAUAGGGCAAGCCUUCGAAUUAUUAAUCCGUCUGUAAUGUAAUUUGUUGUUUGUUGGGAGAAAAUUGUUAAAAGCUCUCCAAUGUGUAAUCUUUAUUUUCUUUGGUAGAUUUGUCUACCAUAGUUUCUUGUAAAACUAUUGAAAUGUAUUAGGAUAGUUGUUAGCCAUUUGGCUAUCAUCCUCUUGUAUAAGCAUCUUGUAACCUCUCCUCACAGAGUACUCGCCCGUUGGUUCACCUCUCCAAACCAGCCUGUCUUAAAAAAGAUGACACGAUAGAGGAAUACAGAACACGUUCUCGGCCACUUCAGUAGACAAUAUUCUAGUAAUAGUAUCCACCUUCCAUUGGCU